UACGUAGGGUGCAAGCGUUAAUCGGAAUUACUGGGCGUAAAGCGUGCGCAGGCGGUUUUGUAAGUCUGACGUGAAAUCCCCGGGCUCAACCUGGGAAUUGCGUUGGAGACUGCAAGGCUUGAGUGCGGCAGAGGAGACUGGAAUUCCUGGUGUAGCAGUGAAAUGCGUAGAUAUCAGGAGGAAUACCGAUGGCGAAGGCAGGUCUCUGGGCUGACACUGACGCUCAUGCACGAAAGCGUGGGGAGCAAACAGG
rnacentral:rRNA from 1 species